ensembl:processed_transcript 9530051G07Rik RIKEN cDNA 9530051G07 gene
CUCCCGCACAGGAACUUCCGCUAGCCGAAAGGAAAAGGAGCGGGCUGCAUUUUGAGUCCCACAAUGGUUCCUCUGCCUGAAAUGCCUCCCCUCCAUCCUCCACUCUCUAAGUACCACCUGCUUCUCCCAGGCAGCUUCCUCGCUCGCUCAAGUUCAUUUCGGCCUGCCCCAAAGAGUAAUGAGUCAGUUCCUACUCCCCCAAGGGAGGCCCCAUAGCCAGGCAUGCUGCUUUUCUUGUGUCAUUUGAAGCGUGAACUUGCUCAGAUCCUUCACCUCUCUGAGCCUGGCUUUCCCCCUUGAAAGUGGAUGUAACUCAAGCACUGGCUUCAGAGUUGUGCGAAUUCAACGAAAAGCCUUUACUGCCUAGUAAGCACAGAUUUGCCUCUAAGUGCGUUGCAAGCAGCAGCAGCAGCAACCAUUAACUGCCAGUAGCUCCUCAGCCAGAGGUGGGGGCCUCACAAACCCUUGACCAGCUGUGAUAGAAUGUUGAAGAGCUCCACCUUGUCAGAAGAAGAAUAAGUGAAAGAAAUGCUUCGCGUGAGGAUUCAAAGCAUGCCUGUUUGGAAGAUGGAGAGGACCCUGCACAGAAAUCGGAAAGAAGUCCCAGAAUUAAGGACCUUCGGCCAACAGCUAGAGAAGAAAAACUCCAGUCCUACUAUAUGAUGGGCAAUAUUCCAGCUGAGUUUACGCUUUGCUCUGUGUUAGUGGGCUAGUAUGAUCGUCAAUCCUCUUUGUCAACUAUUUCGGAUUAAAAAGCUGCUAGGACAUUAGUGAGGCAUGCAUUUGGAUGUGCCUGUGAAGGGGCUCCUGGAGAGAAUUAACUAAAGCGAAACAGUAUACCUUGAAGGUGUGAGUCACCAUGGGAGUGGGCUGGGGGAGUCUGGCCUGAAUUAAAACAGGGAAAGGAGAAAGGCAACCGAGGACCAGCACUUCUUUUCUGUGUCUUUCCUUUUUCUAGACGAGAUAAGCCCAUGAAGAGAUGUAAAAUCCCAACCACAAAACCCUUUCUGCCAGAUAUUUUUUCACAGUAUUGAGAAAACUAACAUACCCUUUUGACCUACCAUUUGUGAAUCCUGUCUGAUAUCAGAGUGGGUUGGACAGUCUUGAGUAGUACUUUGGUCCUCUUGAAAAGAAAAACAUAAUUCUCAAUUUAAAGGAAUAAGAGAUAGUUUAUUCUGGAACCAAAUAUGAACCUGGAAACAAAGAUUCAUUUUACCACAAAUACCACAUUCCAAUAUGGUAGCAGUUUCAUGAUUUUUUUUUUAUGGUAACAGAACAAAGUUGUACCUCAAAUACACUUAAAAUAUAUACUUAAAUACACUAACAUAUCCAAUAGACAGGUUACAGUUUGUUAUAGGCCUCAGUGGAUUUCUGGUGACAUUCUUAGGGUUUUGUAUAGCUGGAGCUAGUGGUUUGCUCAGAGUAUAUUUGAACCUUUUGAUAGUCAGAAAGGUAUUAGGUCAGACAUGGAGUGGGUAAUGAAUAGCUUUCAUAGAAGCGAAUAUGAACCCAAAAUAAUUUGGUUCUGGUCUGCAACAUUUUUAACUCUUCAUAAUCAUGAAGGUUGGUCGUUUAUAGAAUCUCUAGCAGGUUUAAUUCUUUGUUUCUUGUUUUGUUGUUAUGUUUUGUUAUCUGUUUGCUGUGCUAUGUUGUGUUUUUCUGGGAACUUGAGUUCAGUCCCUAGUACUGGCACAUACUCAAGGGUUACAUGCACACACUGAUGUGCUUUCUUUCCUCCAAGUGCCUGAUAUUAUUGUACUGAAUCCCUGCAUGAGUUUGGAGGUAUGCAGCCAGCUGUAUCCUAGCCUGUGACUGAGAAAGGCUAAAACUCAGUAGCAAACCUACUUCCAUGGCUCUAACUGAAACAAAGGUUUUCUAGUUUGUCUUUAGGGUCAUAGAUAGAUGUCUCUCCUAGUAAGCUCCUGCAUGAGCAGUCCUGCUCUCAAACCACAGUCAAGAUAUUUAAUUCUACGUCAAGAUUUGUGGCAGUACUGAGGUCAGAAGGGCAGCCUGUGCUGGUUACUGAUUAAUGUGGCUCCCUCUGGGUCCCUAUGUGGGCCAGUGUGUCAAACAACAAUGGAGAGAGGUUAGGAGGAGAUUAACACCUCUUUACAUCUCUUAUGAUACCAACGUUAGAAUGUCUGCCCCAUGGGCUAACACAAGUAUAUCUCCUAGCUUGGACUUUAAAUAGACAGAAUUUUCUGAGACCAUGAUUGAGAGGGACUUGGGAUGAUUCGAAACCAUUUCAGAUCUGCUGCGUUAUUUAGAUUACUGUGCGUAUUAGUUACUUUUCUAGUGUUGUGAUGAAACACCACAACCGAGGCAUCUUCUAGAAGAAAGGAGUUUGGGGGCUUCUAGUUAGAGAGGCUUAGAGUCUGUGAUACAGACCUGAGGCAGCAGGCUGCAGGCAUAGUAGCUAGCACAGAAGCUAUGCUUUCACAACCCUAAUCCCAAUUAAGAAGCAGAGAUAGAGCACCAGGAAUGCUAUGAGGCUUUAAACUAGUGGUUCUCAACCUGUGAAUCAUGACCCAAAGGAGAUUGCAUAUCAGAUAAUUACAUUAUGCUUUAUAACAGUAGUAAAAUUGGUCAUGAAAUCAUUUUAUGAUUGAGGUUGGAGGAGAUUGCCAUAACAUUCAAACCACCACACUACCACAGCAAGCAUGUUCCAGUGACAGAUAGUUGAAAUCCCCAGAAGCCUCUUAUAGAUGCAAGGUAGUCUACAAAUCAGUGGAACUGGAGCCCAGGUUUGGGCCAUUUUGGAUCUGCUGUAGGUUGAAAGACCUUUCCUGGAAAUGAACAUGGGUAUGUCCCUUUUUUGUACUUUGUGCAAACAAAACUGAUCUUAAAUUAUAGAUCAGCAAGCUAGAUAUUAAUUAAAAGGUAAUUCCAAAAUUUAUGGCCACCACUGAACGCAUUGGUACUGCCUCCUGAAACAGCAAUAUGCGAGACUUCUCCAAGGCUCCUUAGCAGUUAGUGUUAGUAGUCAGACCAAAGUAAGGCAUUUAUGAGCUUAGGUCUAGGAACACAUUCUCUAAGUCUGCCAUCUAAGUCAAGGUAACAUGUCUAAAAGAUUAUUUUCACUCUUGCUGUUCACUGUUUUAAACCACCCAGUCAUAAGAACAUUCACAGCACACAUUUACAAAGAACAUAUGGUAAGCCAUAAAUCAAUCUCAAUGCGUUAAAAACAACUUCCAUCAUAAACCAUGCUAUCUCUUAACAAUGAAAUCAAACUGAGAUUAAAAAAGAAAAAUGACAGAAAAAGAGGCUGGAGUUAUUAUCUAAAUUCAUAUAAAGCUUGCCUUAUAAUACAUGAAAUUUGAGGUUCAAUCCUUAGUACCACAAAAGAAAAGAAAAAAAUUACAUGAAAAUAUUUAGCCACUUAUACAUUGAACAGUACUCUUCCAAAUAACCCACUGAUAAAAAGANNNNNNNNNNNNNNNNNNNNNNNNNNNNNNNNNNNNNNNNNNNNNNNNNNNNNNNNNNNNNNNNAAGGAGUAAAAGACUGAUAAGAUCUUUUAGAAAGAUCAGUGAUAUGGAUAAAUGUCUAACAAGGCUUGCGGGAGCUAAAAGGACUGGGAAAGGGGAGGAAUUGAAGGAAGUCAAGUAGGAAGGAGAAAGAGAGAGAGACUAGGAAUUUGAGGAAGAGUGGAAUGAGGGCUUAUGGGAAAGGUUAAAGGGAGGAAUGGAAAGGGAUAAAUUAUAUAAUUAUAUUAUAAUCUCUAAAAAUAAAAUGAGAAAGAGGGGAAUGGGGCACCCAUUGCUAAUAGUAGCCUUGGAGCUAUUGGCAAGUGAUAGCUGCUAGAAGAGAUUCAGUUUUCCCUAAGGGUGUCCCACAUUCCAGUGGAAAGUCACACGUCCAAGAGUAUUUGGGCAGCACAGAUUUCUUUUGACAGGACAAAAGACAUGAUGAGUGGGUGAGAAUGGUGGAAUGAACCUUGGAAAAGAUGAAGGAGGGAGGAUGAAUAUGACCAAAACACAUUGUAUGAAACUCUCGAGGAACUCAUAAUGUUUUUAAAGAGGCAGUUGCUUAUAGACAUGCCCACAAGCCAAGCCAAUGUAGGUAAUCCAUCAUUGAGACUCUCUUCCAAGGUGUCAUUGGGAUAAUGAAAGCUAAUGAUUACAAAACCCCACUAAUGUGGAAAAAAAUAACAUUAUCCUCAGAUAUUUGACAAUAUAGAAUGCACCCCGUGAGUUCAUUCAUAUACUCAGUACCUCUGUUAUGAAGAUGUUUGCUAAUUUAUAUUUGUGAUGAGUUGAGAUAAUGUGACUCCAAUUAGGACAUUAAAUAAAAGGCUUUUCAGCUGUUUGGAUUU